rnacentral:lncRNA from 1 species
UUUUUCCAGUAAGCAUGCUCCCAUUUCUCAACUUGCCGGAUGAGAUUCAAUUUCUUCCUAUGGAACUUCUCGAGACCGUUGGGAUCAAAAGGAGGAGGCAGUGAACAUGGGCCUGAAAUGUGAGGUUCAUCGACUAAAGAGCCCAUCAAAAACCUCUUAUUAGUCCCAUUCGCAUUUCCAGAAGGGCACACCAUCGCUUCCGUGCAGAUUUCAACACUGUUUUGGGAAACUUGAGGCUUGAACUUAAGAAGCUUUGAGUAUUCAUUCAGCAAAUGGAACAUGUAAUCAUACACGUUUUCCAUUGAUAGAUCUCUUUGCAUGAACUCACUUGCUCCCCUUCCAAUCUCUUGAGCCUGCAUUGCAACCAAUUAUAAAUAAAGAGUAUGCAUACAUAAUUACGAUCCAACUUUUCAAAGUAUUACGCAACAUGUGGUUUUGGUACUUUAUUUAAAUCUAAUCACAGUAUUAACUUAUAGGUGUAGACAACUAUUUUAUAGACUAUAUUCGAGAAUUAAAAUGAAAAACUUUCCUCACAAAACUGAAACUAAUUACUCGAGUAUAUAUAUUACAUUAACAUUUUGUAAACUAGGCGAUCUAUGUUUUUUUUACUAUAACCUAAAUCAUUUUCAAGGUAUAGUUUGGUGUCAUCAUGUAAGAAAGAUUAUCUAGACAAAAAAAGAUUUGACAGUGAUACCUUUUGAGUGUGAUUAUUAAGCCAUUCAACAGCAAAUUUGAUGGAUCUACAUUUAUUCUUAUCAUUAAUGGGCCAAUAGUGUUGGAGAGGUUGAAGAGUUCUUGAGAAGAAAUCAUAGUAAUAAGGUUUAACCAUCAAUGUGACUGAGUCACACGCUAAUAUGUAUUUCUCACUCACUGACCAUCCAUACCCUUCUAUAUAUAUCUUGUACCUGCACAGCUUAUUAUCCCAGUAAUUAAAUUCAACAUAUAUAUAAACCUUAAAUUAGACAUUGGUACUAUAUGAGUCAAAAAGUAUAGACUAGUAGUACUAGUCUAGUACUAACCUGUAAGUGCAUUGAUCUGCUACAUUUGAAUUCUCGAAUCCCUUUUGCCCUUCUGAUAUCCAAUCCUGUGUAAAUACAAAUAAAAAAUUGCUCACAAAUUCAUUUUUAUAUACCUCAUGGAAAGAUUAAUAGAUGAAAUAUGGUUGUACGUACGAACAUAAGCUUAUAGAAGCAUAUAUAUAUAUAUAAAUAUAUAUACGUAUAUAUGUAUACCUGAAUGAAAAUUCUAGCAUUCCAAUCAUGUUGUGAGGAUAAAUUGCAAGUAAGAAGAUCUUCUCUUGAAGGAGAUGCAACAAAAGGAUUCCCUUUCCAAUAUGCAUAAGAUUCUCUCUCCAUAAACUUCUUCUUCUUCUUUCCUUCUUCCAUUUCUUUCAACACUUUGCUCCAUGGUUUUAUGUUUAUCUCUUGCCUUCAUCCACCAAUUUAAUCCAAUUAAAUUUUAUUUUUUUAAUUUGAAAUUUAUUAAAUUUUCAACUAUGCAAAUAAAUCAUCAGUCGCAAACAAAUAUGAUAUUCGAUACAAAAAAAUAUUUCAAAGUUUAAUAUGGAAUUACCAACGAGAUUUUAGAACUAUUCACUUCAUGUUCAACUAGAACUGUCCCAUCUUUUAACUAUUCACAUGAAAUUGAUCAUCGUCAAACUAUAAUCAUAUCGCAAUAGCCUCACAUGCCCUCUUUAGGCAUGGGAUUAUUGUCUGCUCCGGAUUCGCUCCGAAAAUAAAAUAUCCAAAAUGUUUGAAUCCGAAUACAGAUAGUAAAAUCUUAGAUCCGUUAAAACUGAAUCCGCAUCCAGAUAUCUUUAUUUUUAUAUCCGGAUCUGUAUUUUUAAAAUAUAUUAAUUUUUAUAUCUGAUAUUUUAAUAUUUAUACAUAAAUUAGUUUUAUAAUAUUAUAUUUUAAUUUUAAAAAUAUUAUACAUAUAUAUAUAUAUUUAUAAAUCUUAAAUAAAUAUUUGAUUUAAGUAUUAUUUAAAAAUUAGUAAUUUAUAAAAAAACAAAAAAAUUAAUUAUUUUUUUGGAUCCGGAUCCGGAUAUCCACGGGUAAUGUAACAUCUAGACGGAUAUCCGGAUUUCGAAUAUCGAAUAUCCGGAAACCACGAAUCCGGAUCAAGAUAUUAAAAUUAACGAAUCCGACAAAUCUGGAUCCAGUACCCUAAAUUUCUGGGAUAUCCGGAUCCGUCCCAUGCUUAGCGAUCUUAAUCUCCAAGAACAGCUAAAUUCAUGAACUAGAAUUAUAUAGCAAAACAUAAAUCCAAUUUUGUAAAUAUCAUAAUGUACUACAUAUAAAUAAAGGCUAUUAACACUAUCUAUUAGUUAAGCAGGUUUCAAUGUGGACUCGAUUUAGGUUUAGGAAAUUGGUCAACCCAUGCUAAGAAUAAAUGAUAUAUUUCUCAAAAUAUCAUAAAUCUAACGUAAUCCGAUAAAUAAAAGCUAAAAUAAAAUCAUAUCAAACUGUUUGAUAGUAUCAUUUUAUUGAACGUUUUUCCAGUAAGCAUGCUCCCAUUUCUCAACUUGCCGGAUGAGAUUCAAUUUCUUCCUAUGGAACUUCUCGAGACCGUUGGGAUCAAAAGGAGGAGGUAGUGAACAUGGGCCUGAAAUGUGAGGUUCAUCGACUAAAGAGCCCAUCAAAAACCUCUUAUUAGUCCCAUUCGCAUUUCCAGAAGGGCACACCAUCGCUUCCGUGCAGAUUUCAACACUGUUUUGGGAAACUUGAGGCUUGAACUUAAGAAGCUUUGAGUAUUCAUUCAGCAAAU